CUGAGUGGGCAGAGGACGGCCCGGAGUCUCGUAGCGCACCGCCCUGGUCCCACACCCCCCGCAGCCCUAGGAGGAUCGAUGUGCUGAGCUUGUGGCGAGGAGCUCCCCGAGCCACUUUCGCGCGGGCGGCAGAAAACCUGAGCCGCGACCCGGCGAGUGUCGGCGGCGCUCUGGGGAGGAGAGGCUGGGAAGGGGCUGCGAGAGAUGCUACUUAAGAACGUGAGGCUGAGAGGCGGGCUUGGUCAGAUCUGCCUGCGUGACAAGCUCAGGACGCUUCUGCCCUUGCAUUACUGUUGUAAAAGUUUCCACCCAGUCCCUGGUUGCACUGCUUUCCCAUCCCGGCAGAUGUGAACUCAAAAACUUCCUCCGCUGUGCAGUUUCAAUUGGCAGACACACCC
rnacentral:antisense_RNA from 1 species